rnacentral:rRNA from 1 species
GAUGAACGCUGGCGGCGUGCCUAAUACAUGCAAGUCGAGCGAACAGACGAGGAGCUUGCUCCUCUGACGUUAGCGGCGGACGGGUGAGUAACACGUGGAUAACCUACCUAUAAGACUGGGAUAACUUCGGGAAACCGGAGCUAAUACCGGACAAUAUAUUGAACCGCAUGGUUCAAUAGUGAAAGACGGUUUUGCUGUCACUUAUAGAUGGAUCCGCGCCGCAUUAGCUAGUUGGUAAGGUAACGGCUUACCAAGGCAACUAUGCGUAGCCGACCUGAGAGGGGGAUCGGCCACACUGGAACUGAGACACGGUCCAGACUCCUACGGGAGGCAGCAGUAGGGAAUCUUCCGCAAUGGGCGAAAGCCUGACGGAGCAACGCCGCGUGAGUGAUGAAGGUCUUCGGAUCGUAAAACUCUGUUAUUAGGGAAGAACAAAUGUGUAAGUAACUAUGCACGUCUUGACGGUACCUAAUCAGAAAGCCACGGCUAACUACGUG